rnacentral:rRNA from 1 species
UACGUAGGUCCCGAGCGUUGUCCGGAUUUAUUGAGCGUAAAGCGAGCGCAGGUGGUUUAUUAAGUCUGGUGUAAAAGGCAGUGGCUCAACCAUUGUAUGCAUUGGAAACUGGUAGACUUGAGUGCAGGAGAGGAGAGUGGAAUUCCAUGUGUAGCGGUGAAAUGCGUAGAUAUAUGGAGGAACACCGGUGGCAAAAGCGGCUCUCUGGCCUGUAACUGACACUGAGGCUCGAAAGCGUGGGGAGCAAACAGG